rnacentral:rRNA from 1 species
GAUGAACGCUGGCGGCGUGCCUAAUACAUGCCAGUCGAGCGAACGGACGAGAAGCUUGCUUCUCUGAUGUUAGCGGCGGACGGGUGAGUAACACGUGGAUAACCUACCUAUCAGACUGGUAUAACUUCGGGAAACCGGAGCUAAUACCGGAUGAUAUUUUGAACCGCAUGGUUCAAAAGUGAAAGACGGUCUUGCUGUCACUUAUAGAUGUAUCCGCGCUGCAUUAGCUAGUUGGUAAGGUAACGGCUUACCAAGGCAACGAUGCAUAGCCGACCUGAGAGGGUGAUCGGCCACACUGGAACUGAGACACGGUCCAGACUCCUACGGGAGGCAGCAGUAGGGAAUCUUCCGCAAUGGGCGAAAGCCUGACGGAGCAACGCCGCGUGAGUGAUGAAGGUCUUCGGAUCGUAAAACUCUGUUAUUAGGGAAGAACAUAUGUGUAAGUAACUGUGCACAUCUUGACGGUACCUAAUCAGAAAGCCACGGCUAACUACGUG